GCCGGGCGUGGUGGCGCACGCCUGUAAUCCCAGCUACUCAGGAGGCUGAGGCAGGAGAAUUGCUUGAAACCAGGAGGCAGAGGUUGCAGUGAGCCAAGAUCACGCCACUGUACUCCAGCCUAGGUGACAGAGCAAGACUCUGUCUCCA
ensembl:misc_RNA Metazoa_SRP Metazoan signal recognition particle RNA